AUCCAGCUGACGAGUCUCAAAUAGGAAGAAAUGCGCGUCAAACUGGAU
rfam:Schistosoma curassoni strain Dakar, Senegal genome assembly, scaffold: SCTD_scaffold0017239